CCAGACAAACCUGGACUCCUAAAUGUACCUGAAACAUUUCGUUUCAGUCAGUCCAGUCACAGACAAAAGAAGAAGAAGUCACUCGCUGCGCAGUCUACCAUAGGAGGUGGCGCUAAUGCACCUUUCAGUUGGUUGCCACCCGCCAUUUAAAAGACAAAAGAAGAAGUCACUCAGGUUGAAGAAGCGCCCACUUGCUGCUUCCCCAAACUUAAGUACAUGCUUGAUACUUACUUGAUGUAUGUACUCCGGAAGUUUCUUUGUUUAUAAUCUAGCUCCCCUCCUGUGUAAGGAAUGCUAAUUGCUAGAAUAGUUGAUGCUAACAGCUACAGCAACAGAGAGAGACAGUGUUGCAAGGUGCUGACACGCAAUUUGGAUGAGUCCAAGCCUCUCCAGCAUUUGUCCGGUUCAAAUCGUCUGAUAUAUGGCUGGCGCAGCUACCGAAACUCGAGGAGGUUGCUUCUCAAACUGACGCCACUGCAGGCUGUGGACACGCGGCUACCUUGUAGAAGAGUUGUUGCUCACCUCAGGAGCAAAGAUUAUGUGGAAAAUGUGAUGGAGACCAUCUAUAAUAAAGUCCUGCUGGACUCAGGUUGUUCUAUGGAGGACCUUGUGAACAUCCCUGUCCCACCGGCCCUCUGAGCAGAAUUUGAGCAACCUGACAGAAAGGAGAGUGGUGUCAAGGAAAACUGCUGCAUCCUCCACCUGUACAGCAGCUGCACUGCUUCCGAUGUCUUCCAACACGUGAAGACAAAAAAGGUCCGCACAUCUCCCCAGCCAACUGCUCAUGACUGUACCUGUUCCACUCCAAAAACUAUGCUUUUAACAUAACUAUUAAUCCCGUUCAUUUUGUGGUCUGCACAUUGAACUGUGAAGGUAACUUAUCCAGCAUUAUAGUGCUGGUGCAUUGGUUGACAAUAAAGUUGGCUUUGACUAUU